CGGUUCGACGCCACACAAAUC
rnacentral:snRNA from 1 species